ensembl:miRNA
CCAAGGCCUUCUGUUGUCAGUAACAAGGAUUCAUCCUGCUGUGACUAUGUGGUGUGGCAGGGAAUCUCUGUUACUGGGGGCAGGGUGCCACCU